rnacentral:lncRNA from 1 species
GAAGCAGAGCAACCAGGAGACAACGGAAGGAAAGAGGCCCUGGUCUCCUCGGGAACUGUGUUACUGACAGAACAAGGAACAGCUUUGGCUGGAGAUGUUUAUGCUGACUUUGGAGUAUGGAUCAGAAGAGGGUCCUGGCUUGCUGAUGGAGCUCAGGCCUAUGGAAAACAGGAUGAUCUUAGAGUUAAAAACAAACAACCCUGGGUGUGGUCUCAGGGCCUGGGAGGAAAGGAUGAAAUCUCUCAAGAGAUGCUGCCAUUUCCUGAGCGCCCAUGAGCUCAUCUUAUCCUCACAACUGAAAGUGCUUUUUCCGAUGUCAGACAUGGAAAAAUAUGGCACCUAAAAGAGGAUGUCACUUUGACAACCAAUACUCCGCCAGCCCAA